rnacentral:lncRNA from 1 species
CCAGUCAUUACUAAUGCAAUUAGCAGUAAUGUAGCAUUUCUGUGGCCCAAACGCUGUUUGCUGUAGAAAAAAAGAAAUACACAGCCAUUUUCUGAAGAAACUGGGGAAAUAGCAGAUGGGAAGCCUCUCAAUAACGCCUCUGAUACUACCAGUCAUGUGAUGAAACGGGAUAUAGCAUGUGGGAAGGCUCUCUAAAAACUCCACUGAUACUACCCGGCUGCAGCAGGGCAAAAAGCUACGUCAGUGAGAUAGCACUGAAA